AACGAACGCUGGCGGCAUGCCUAACACAUGCAAGUCGAACGAGACCUUCGGGUCUAGUGGCGCACGGGUUCGUAACGCGUGGGAACCUGCCCUUAGGUUCGGAAUAACUCCCCGAAAGGGGUGCUAAUACCGGAUAAUGUCUUCGGACCAAAGAUUUAUCGCCUUUGGAUGGGCCCGCGUUGGAUUAGCUAGUUGGUAGGGUAAAAGCCUACCAAGGCGACGAUCCAUAGCUGGUCUGAGAGGAUGAUCAGCCACACUGGGACUGAGACACGGCCCAGACUCCUACGGGAGGCAGCAGUGGGGAAUAUUGGACAAUGGGCGAAAGCCUGAUCCGGCAAUGCCGCGUGAGUGAUGAAGGCCUUAGGGUUGUAAAGCUCUUUUACCCGGGAUGAUAAUGACAGUACCGGGAGAAUAAGCGCCGGCUAACUCCGUG
rnacentral:rRNA from 1 species